UACGAAGGGGGCUAGCGUUGCUCGGAAUCACUGGGCGUAAAGCGCGCGUAGGUGGCUUCGUAAGUCCGUUGUGAAAGUCAAAGGCUCAACCUUUGAAAGCCGAUGGAUACUGUGAAGCUAGAGUACGGAAGAGGCGAGUGGAAUUCCUGGUGUAGCGGUGGAAUGCGCAGAUAUCAGGAGGAACACCAAUAGCGAAGGCAGCUCGCUGGGACGUUACUGACGCUGAGACGCGAAAGCGUGGGGAGCAAACAGG
rnacentral:rRNA from 1 species